AGUUGUUGCCGUAGUCGACGUCGACGAAGA
rnacentral:antisense_RNA from 1 species